CUCAUUUUUCUCUUGCCGCCACCACGAAAGAAGUGCCUUUUGCCUCCCGUCAUGAUUCUGAGGCCUCCCCAGCCAUGUGGAACUGUUUGAGGCACAGAGCUGUAUAUACAAUAACAGUGAAAUUGAUCCCACUACUAAUUAUGACAAAAAUGAUCUUCCACGUAAACAGGUGGUGAAGCUCCUUAUGGUCCUGACCCUACAGUUCCUGUCCCAUGACCAGGGCCAGAUCACCAAGGAGCUGCAGCAGUUCGUCGUCAGUGGCAGCCCCAUGCGAGCACCCGAGGAAGGGCUGUGACCGUCUAUGACAAGCCAGCAUCUUUCUUUCAAGAGACCUCUGGACCUGCAGCACCAACUCUUCAUGAAGCUGGGCGGCACGCACUCUCCGUUCAGGGCCUGAACCUGAGGACCCAGACACGGAGCGGUCGGCCUUCAUGGAGCGGGAUGCUGGGAGCGGGCUGGUGAUGCGCCUCCGCGAGCGGCCAGCCCUGCUGGUCAGCAGCACAGGCUGGACAGAGGACGAAGACUUCUCCAUCUGCUGGCAGCUUUAGAAAAGUUUGAACAACUGACUCUUGAUGGACACAACCUUCCUUCUCUCGUCUGUGUGAUAACAGGCAAAGGGCCUCCGAGGGAGUAUUACAGCCGCCUCAUCCACCAGAAGCAUUUCCAGCACAUCCAGGUCUGCACCCCUUGGCUGGAGGCCGAGGACUACCCCCGCUUCUAGGGUCGGUGGAUCUGGGUGUCUGUCUGCACACGUCCUGCAGUGGCCUGGACCUGCCCAUGAAGUUUACAUGAGCUGGUGAAACAUGAAGAAAAUGGCCUGGUCUUUGAGGACUCAGAGGAACUGGCAGCUCAGCUGCAGGUGCUUUUCUCAAACUUUCCUGAUCCUGCGGGCAAGCUAAACCAGUUCCGGAAGAACCUGCGGGAGUCGCAGCAGCUCCGAUGGGAUUAGAGCUGGGUGCAGACUGUGCUCCCUUUGGUUAUGGACACAUAACUCCUGGGCCAGAGGCUAAAACCCCGGGACCCCUGCUGUCCUUCCCACAGCUUCUUCUCAGAGUCUCAGGGCAAAUCCUUUCGAGCAGCGCCUCCCAGUGGCCAGAAGCUGAAAUGAUGGCAGUAGUGCCACCUGGUGAAUGAAUUGGUUCUGUGACCC
rnacentral:lncRNA from 1 species